rnacentral:rRNA from 1 species
AGCGAACGCUGGCGGCAGGCCUAACACAUGCAAGUCGAACGAACCCUUCGGGGUUAGUGGCGGACGGGUGAGUAACACGUGGGAACGUGCCUUUAGGUUCGGAAUAACUCAGGGAAACUUGUGCUAAUACCGAAUGUGCCCUUCGGGGGAAAGAUUUAUCGCCUUUAGAGCGGCCCGCGUCUGAUUAGCUAGUUGGUGAGGUAAUGGCUCACCAAGGCUACGAUCAGUAGCUGGUCUGAGAGGAUGCCCAGCCACGUUGGGACUGAGACACGGGCCAAACUCCUACGGGAAGCAGCAGUGGGGAAUCUUGCGCAAUGGGCGAAAGCCUGACGCAGCCAUGCCGCGUGGAUGAUGAAGGUCUUAGGAUUGUAAAAUCCUUUCACCGGUGAAGAUAAUGACUGUAGCCGGAGAAGAAGCCCCGGCUAACUUCGUGCCAGCAGCCGCAGUAACAC